rnacentral:rRNA from 1 species
UGCAAGUCGGAGGGGCAGCAUGUUGGUUGCUUGCAAACCAAUGAGUGGCCGACCGGCGCGACGGGUGAAGUAACGCGUACUACCAACCUACCUCAUACCGUCCGGGAUAAUCCGAUGAAAAGUCGGUCUAAUACCGGAUAUAAUGUAAAAGCUGACAUCGAUUUUACAUGAAAGAAUUUUGGUGUGAGAUGGGGAUGCGUCUGAUUAGCUUGUUGGCGGGGUAACGGCCCACCAAGGCAUCGAUCAGUAGGGGUUCUGAGAGGAAGGUCCCCCACAUUGGAACUGAGACACGGUCCAAACUCCUACGGGAGGCAGCAGUGAGGAAUAUUGGUCAAUGGGCGAGAGCCUGAACCAGCCAAGUAGCGUGCAGGAUGACGGCCCUAUGGGUUGUAAACUGCUUUUAUGCGGGGAUAAAGUGUGUCACGUGUGGCAUAUUGCAGGUACCGCAUGAAUAAGGACCGGCUAAUUCCGUGCC